rnacentral:rRNA from 1 species
CUCCUACGGGAGGCAGCAUGGGAAUCUUGCACAAUGGAGGAAACUCUGAUGCAGCGACGCCGCGUGAGCGAUGAAGCCUUCGGGUGUUAAAGGCUCGUUUCGACGGGGACGAUAAUGACGGUACCCGAAGAACGAAGCUGCGGCUAACUACGUGCCAGCAGCCGCGGUAAUAC